CCGGGUGUGGCGCAGAUUGGUAGCGCGCUACCUUGGGGUGGUAGAGGCCGCAAGUUCAAAUCUUGUCACUCGGACCA
rnacentral:tRNA from 1 species